UACGUAGGUGGAGAGCGUUGUCCGGAUUUACUGGGCGUAAAGGGAGCGUAGGCGGACUUUUAAGUGAGAUGUGAAAUACCCGAGCUCAACUUGGGUGCUGCAUUUCAAACUGGAAGUCUAGAGUGCAGGAGAGGAGAAUGGAAUUCCUAGUGUAGCGGUGAAAUGCGUAGAGAUUAGGAAGAACACCAGUGGCGAAGGCGAUUCUCUGGACUGUAACUGACGCUGAGGCUCGAAAGCGUGGGGAGCAAACAGGAUUAGAUA
rnacentral:rRNA from 1 species